GGGACGGACAGGUUUGAGGGAGAGAGCUGAGGUGUACAGGAGAAUGAAUCGCUGUUCACAUUGAAGAGCCUGCCGGGCUGUCAAAUGUGAGACCGAGAGCAUGUUUGGGAAGUGUCUGUGUGGUCGGGUCUGGCAGGUGCUCCACUGCAAGGCUGUCAAGGACAAAUGAUGGGAGGUGGCAGGGUCACUGAGCAGCAGUGACGGCGGCCGGUGGUGGUGGAGGUGGUGUUGCUGAGGUGGCGAUGGCGGCUGUCCUGUCCGCCUGACUCCCUCCCCAGGGCUGAUAACGCGGGCAGAAUAACAGGUCCUUUGCCGUGGCCCGCAGAAAGAAUGAAAGAGGGGGAGCAGUGAGCUAUGGUACAAUGUGCUGGGCCGCGAGGAGGAGGAGGAAGAGGAGAGGGAGGAGGAGGAGGAAAAAAAAAAGGAGCAGCUCAUCAGAAAAUAACAAAGACACUUCUGAGGAAGAUGGCUCUCAUACUCCAGGGCUGUUUUCCAAUUACUGCACAGCCUUUCUUCAUGGCCAGGUUUAGGGGUGGACGCUGCGGAGGAGAGUUCUGCUUUUCUCUCUCUGUGUCCGUGUAAGGCCUUCACCCGUAGGACGCCUGGGUCGGUGCAGGAGGACGACGCUUUGAUGCAGAUGUUGCAUCAUGCGACGGGUAGUAUGGUGUCUGGUGUGUGUACGUGUGUGUGUGGGGAUGUGUGUGUCCGUUUGUCCGCAUGUGUGUCCUUGUACGUUGUAAACGUCUGCAUAUUUCCAUAUCUCCAUAUCGCAGCUUGUGUGCCAACUUAUCUUUUCGACAAUGACAAACUCCUAUCUGCUAACUCGCAGCCAUAAAUCCUGAUUACAGAUAUCCUCCAUUGUUCCACUGACAUAGGAAGUAGGGCUGCUCGACAUACAGUACAUCCACCUUAACAUUAUACUCCCUCUCUCUUUUUCUCUUUCUCUCUCUCUCGCCCUCUCUCUCCACGCUAGAAACAGAUGGCUGGGGACGAUCUUCCAAUGUGGUAGAAAACCAACUAAUUGCUUUGAGUUGCCACAGUCGCUGCUGCUGUGAAAGACGUGAGGGCGGAAGAGUGAGAGAGGAGGACCUACUGGAUCUGCAGCCAUCACGCCUUCCCUAGCUUGAAACAGUGGUUCAUAGAAUAAGUUUGGAAAAAUGUGAAAUGCUAGCACAUAACCUCUCCAUGUACUGUAGAUUGCC
ensembl:lncRNA